UUUCUCUGGGCCACAUACCCUGGACAUUUUUAAAAAUAGUUAAAAAGCUCAAACGGUGGGUAGGUUGCUCACCAAGAUUUCACCGUGCAAAACCUGGAUUUAACACUUACAAGGGUUGUGAACAUCUGACUGCCAAACAUUGACACUAUUUCGUGACGUAUCGAAGCGGAAGGUGGUAAUUUGAUGCUCUGAAGGACAUGGUUAGUUCAUCACUUCUAGCUCAUUAUUUAGCAAAAUACAGCAGUUACAGAUCAUCUGUAUCUUGGAAUAAAAGAAUUUCUCAAUUCAUGGCGGAUGCUAACACCGGAUAUGUUCAUUCAAUUUUGCGAAAUCUUGACAUCAGGCACUAUUCAACUCAACCGCAAACUUAUACCUGAUUCUAUCAAAAAGCCAACAUUUGCGGAAGAUGACAUAUUUGCAUGCAGAUCAGGAACACGGGCUAUCAACAGAAGAGCACGUGGAGGUAACUUACAAGUAGUAAAUAAGCCAAAUGUAGUGGUCAAUUAUAAUAAAUAUAUGGGAGGUGUCGACCGCGCAGACUCUUAUUCAUACUGUCAUACUGUUUCCUGAGGAAGUCUAUGACAUGGUGGCGAAAGUCAUUUUUCUGGGGACUCGAAAUAUCUAGUGUCAAUGCAUAUCUAUUAUAUAAAAUUUAACAAAGGGACCAAAACUAAAAACCAAUGACACAUCUGAAGUUUAUUCGGGAAUUGGUUGACGAGAUGACAAAAAACGUUUGCCAGAUGGCCAACAACUCUGGAAGACCAUCAUCUGUGGAUACUGAAGAGCGGCUAAAUGGUAAUUCACAUCUUUUACGCCAAAAUGAUGGUGCGAUAUGUUCUGAAAGUAAAGUACUGGUAACUGCUUCGAACGGUACCAUACACCACAACCUUAUAGGAUGUAAUUUAUUAAAAUUGCAUAUACAUUUAUUUUAUGAUUAUGGUAGUGAUUAUGAUAAUGUUAGGUUUUAAUUUGUGUUCGUCCAUCCUCAAGAUUUAUUAUUUUUGUAAGCCAUUACCAAUAAAUACCAAAAUAUAUAAAAUAAA